UACAGAGGGUGCAAGCGUUAAUCGGAAUUACUGGGCGUAAAGCGUGCGUAGACGGUUACAUAAGUCGGGUGUGAAAGCCCCGGGCUCAACCUGGGAAUUGCAUUCGAGACUGCGUAGCUAGGGUGCGGAAGAGGGAAGCGGAAUUUCCGGUGUAGCGGUGAAAUGCGUAGAGAUCGGAAAGAACACCGGUGGCGAAGGCGGCUUCCUGGAUCGAGACUGACACUGAGGUGCGAGAGCGUGGGGAGCAAACAGG
rnacentral:rRNA from 1 species